rnacentral:rRNA from 1 species
UACGUAGGUGGCAAGCGUUGUCCGGAUUUACUGGGCGUAAAGAGCGCGCAGGCGGUCUAUUAAGUCUGAUGUGAAAGCCCACGGCUCAACCGUGGAGGGCCAUUGGAAACUGGUAGGCUUGAGUGCAGGAGAGGAGAGCGGAAUUCCCGGUGUAGCGGUGAAAUGCGUAGAUAUUGGGAGGAACACCAGUGGCGAAGGCGGCUCACUGGACCGGAACUGACGCUGAGGCGCGAAAGCGUGGGGAGCAAACAGG